GGAUUCUUCCUGCAACGGCGGAGGCUUCACAGCGCGAGCCUCUGGGAGGUUCACGUAUAUUUCUCCCCGCUCCCGUCACGCACUUACCGCGCGGAGCACUUUCAAGUGCCGCAGCCCCCACGAAGCCACCGCUGUCACCGCCAUUUCGCACCCGCCCGGAGAGGGUCAGGGAUUAAGCCACUGCGCGUGCGUAAACGGGACGGGCACCCUGACGGGACAAUUGUGACGGCAAAACAAACCAAACCAGAGAAACUGGGUUAAAACCCUCCUGGCUUGAAGGAAUAGAGAUAGAAAGCCUUUUUCUAAUGAGGAACAAUAUAACGUCAAAAACGACGGUGAAGUCCCAUUUCUAGAAAAAGGAACUGUCUGUCUAGCGAUCUUUUAUGCUUGAAAAAGUUCCCGAGGAAGAUUAUCUUCCCUCGUCUCACACGGAUGGUUCAUUCCAAAAAAAAACGGGGGGGGGGCGAGGCCGAAGGUGUAUUGCGCAGGCGCAAUGAAGCCUCGGCGGUCACAAGUAUCCGGAGGGUGAUAGAAGCGUCUUCUCUUCGGUUCUCUUCUGGAACUAGAAGAUUAUUUAGCUUUAGUUCCAGGAUGGUUUUUAUCAAGAGGCCUUUGUUUUCUGAGUGAUCAAAUUUGUUUGACUGCUAAAAAGGAAUUAAGGGUUUGUCAAUGAAUAAUUUAAAUGACCCUCCUAACUGGAACAUCCAGCCUAAUGCAAGGGAUGAUGAAGGCCAUGGAAGCAAAUGGAAUUAUGCUUUGUUGGUUCCAAUGUUGGGGCUGGCUGCCUUCCGUUGGAUCUGGUCCAGGGAGUCUCAGAAAGAGAUAGAAAGAGAGAAAAAAGAUUUGCAUAGAAAACUCUCGUUAGUACAGAGAGAGCUUGAAUCUAAAUAUCAUGAGAUAAUCACAACAAACCGUCGGACAGUUGCUCAUUUGGAAUUGGAAUUGGAAAAGGAACGGAACAGGACACUGAGUUAUCGUGAAGCCCUCGUCUCUCAAAGUCGUAAACUGGUGGAAGAAAGAAGAACUCUGGAACAAGAACGUACAAAAUUAGACCAAGAGAAACAGAUUCUGCAGCACUCUGGGGCUGCCGGUGCUCUGUAUCAGAAUUGCCUAGAGAAGGAAGAGCAGUGGCAGAAGCGAGCUACUGCUUUGCUGAAAGAGUUUGAAGAUGCUCUUGCAGAAAGGCAGGACAUCUAUUGUAGCCUUGUGCUACCAAGACACCAGCGACUAGAAAUAGAGAAAAAUUUGCUUGUUAGAGCAGCAACUGAUCCAGUUGCCAUGGACCUGGAAAUGGAAAGUGGCUUAAAAGAUAUUUUCAGGCAUGAUACCUAUUGCAGCAAUUUGCUUAACACCAAUAAACGUAGAAAUGGAAGACUAAUGUGGCUCUACCUUCGACACUGGGAAUUAUCUGCUGAACUCAAAAAGUUCAAGAGGGUAGAGAAGGUCAUGUUAGGAAAGUAGCGGCUAAAAAAUAUGAGCAUCCAUACAUUACACGUAUCAGAUAUGGGUGGUUUCCUUUUGGAUAUAUAUAGUUUCUCUUAGCUUUUCCCCCACACAAGUAUUAGUCAUCCAGUGGGGUGUCUUAAGUGCUCAGUGUCUCUCACAUUGACUAGCCGAGGUGAUUAUAUAGUACCAUAAUGCUCUAUGUCAAGUAAAUAACUCUGUCUUUUUAUUAAUAGUGCAACUCGAUGCAUGUUUACUCAGAAGUAAAUUUUACUGUAUUCAGUGGGAUUUCUUCCUAGAUAAGUGUGCUUUAGGAUUGCAGCCUAGAUCAGGAUACUGGGCUUAAGAGGCAAUGACUUCAGCUUCCACCUAGUUAGUUUUUACUGUUAUUUAAGACUGAGAAAGCACCUUUCUAUUGGUUGUUGAAGUAUGUGAUCAAGUUCUCAAAUUAGUCACAUUUAUGAUGUAGACUGGGCUAGGCUUAAUGCUUACAUAUAUUCACACUGAUCGUGUAGGAGAAAAAUUGAUAGUUGACACUAACUGAAAAGCUGGUGCAUAUAGCAUGGGAUCAGGGUUUAAUUUGAGCAAGGGCUCAGCAACCACUGAAUGCCAGAGCAUAACUAUGGACCAUGUGAAACACCAAUCGGAAACACAAUGCCCCAGAGCAAGUGCAGAGUUCCUUAUCAUUUUGGGUGAACAACUGCAGCCAACCCCCAAGCAUCUGGGAUGAAAGGGGAAGGAUUUUCAGGUAGAAAGUGCCUUUCGCGCAUGCUAAAACUCUGGUGUCUCUUUUUAGAAUUAGGCACUGUGUGUGAUCUCUUUAAAGUGGACAUUGUUGAGAUAAGAUGUUUCUUGUCAUUUAAGAUAGUUUUGUAAAUAUUCACCCAUCUGGUCACCUGUCAGAAGUAAGAAUCUUCUAAUGACCAGGCAGAAGAGUUUAUAAGCUGGAAAUGCUUAUACAGUCUUAAUUGACAUACUACAGAUAACUAGCAUUGGCAGGUGAGCAAUAUUUGUGGGCUUAUUUGCAAGGCUAAUUUAAGGUGUUUUACAUUCAGAGAAAAAUAAUCACUCAUGCCAUUGCAUGCUUAGGUAGAGUUUUGCUGUGCUUUCUGAUACUGGCAGUUGUGGAACCCAGUGGUAUUGGUUUCACUUUCAACAGAUAACUUUACUUCACAGAUACGAAAAAGACUAGUAUUUAUUUUAGUAUUGAUGUCCUGCCUUUUUGCUGUGAAUUUCAGUUGGGCCCAUGAGCAAGGACAGCACAGUAUGCACUCCUGGAGAACACUGUCUAAAUUAGAUUUGAAAAAGGCUGCUGCUACUGUCACGAUUUGCACUUCAACACACUCAAAUGCCACGGGGGAGGGGAAUCAAUUUCAAAUUCUGUCCUUUUUUAACUGGCUUGUUGCUUAAAACUUAAUUAUUGUCUGAUACUUGGAUGUAAUACUAUAUUGAUGCAUUUGUCUCUGUUUACACAUACAAGCUAUAAGGCACUUUUUUUUAGCAAAAUACCCAGUCAUGGUCAAACUCAGGAGAUAAAGAGAACCCAAGAAAAUCUUCAUACAGAGUUUCCUUCCGUCAGCACUCAGGAGGAUCCCUACGCCUGUGCAGCCUCUGAGACGAGCUCCGUCUUGGAUGAAACUUAUCCAGUUUAAAUUCAGUCAGAAGGCUCUUUUCUGACUGGGAAUAAUUUCUUCCGGUUAAAGAAGAAACGUGAGAUUUCCCACAUAGCUUUGUUUUGAUUGUUGGAGUCUGGAAUUCGUCAGAAUUGUCUGUCUUCCAGCAGCUCAGACAGAGCAAGGAUUUUUAUGCUAGCUCAGCUGGAUAAGUGACCCGUUUUUUUUUAUACGGAUUAACAGGCAAACAUCCUCCUGUCUACAUUCAUCAUUUUCUUAUCUAUACAGCUAAAGAGAUUUGUCAAAGUAACAGCAAUUGAGAUAACCUAGGUGAGGUAAGACUUUCCUUUUUUUAUUCACGGAACUAAGGGGGAAGAAAAUAUAAAUAGCUUAUCUUUUUUUUUAUUGCAAAAAGCUUACAUGGAAAAUAGCAUGUUAAAGAUUACAACGGACGAGAGAUUUCUGAUUGGAAGAGAUAAGAAAUCUUUUUAAUGUAUGGCUGGGACUAUUUUUCCUGAUCUACUUUUUUUUUUGACGAAUCUGCUCAUUCUCUCUGCUAUUAGCUAUUUCGACGCUGUGAACUAAAGCCGUUCUUACACUUCCGGGCAGAUAAGAGAUAAGGGCUGUCUAGCGUGUGACGUUAGUUUGUUGGAAAGAUUAACUCCUUUGUAACUGGUUAAAGAAAUAAGCUGCUCUUUGUUUGGGACAUUGAAAAUUGAAGGAGUUUUGUUCCUUUGGCUUUAAGAAUGACAAUUAAGAAGAUCAUGGAUGUACAAGAAGGGACUUUAUCUCUAGACAUGUUUCAGAAAAUAAUGAAUGGGAUUAACUCAAUAAAACAAGAACUGAGAAAUAAUAGACAAGCGUGGAGAAUUGAAUUUCACGAAAUGAGACAGGAGCUGAAAGAAACUCAGGAUUCUAUGAGAAAGGAGAAUAAAGAUAGAUCUGGAAAACAAAAAAAGGAUGAAAGAGAAAUUAAAGGCAAGGUUCAAACUAUGGAGAUUGGCUUAAUUAUGGACAUGAAAAAAGACUUGGAUUUCCUGGCUGUGAUGGAUCCUGGAGACAAAUAUUACAGUUUGGAAUUCAGCGCUGUCCCUGAAGGAAUUGAAGAGAUUGGAGAUAAAGAUAUUAUCGGUUCAAAAAAAUUCUUGGACUGGAAGGAUUUGAUGGAACUUGAAAUGGAGAAAGUUAACAGAAUUAAUCCCUGUUUUGUGUCAAUGGAAAAACCUUCAAGAGAUGUACUAGUGUAUCAUGUGGAAAAGAGGAACAGAGAUGCGGCUUUGCAACUAUACUUCAGUGAUACGUUUGGAUUUGAUGGCAAGAAAAUAUCUGUGAUGGAGGAAAUUCCUAUCAGACUUUUAUUGUAUGACUAUGACAGCAAGAUUUUUGGGUGCGUAAAGAUGGAAGAUGGAAGAUGGACCCAAUAUGGAUAAUGACAGAAGAGCAAUUUAAAAUUACUGGACUUAGUAGAUUUGAUGAGUUGGAUUAAUUGGCAUGUUUAUUUAGAAAAAAAAAUUGAUUGACAUAUAUCUCAAGGAUUGGAAACUUCUCUUUGACUUUUUGUGGAAGAUUAAAAUGAUACGAUGUUAAUGAGAUUUGAAACCAACUAAGAUAACCGUUGGAGGAAGGUGGUUUUAUAAUCUAUUAAGAGAUAGGUUUGUUAUAUGUUAUAGAUUUAUAGCUGAACUAUGGCAAAUCGGAAGUCAAUAUUCUUUCUUUUUUAUAUAUAUAUAUAUAUAUUUCUUUUUGUAUUGUACUAGUUAUUGAUUUG